AUUGAACGCUGGCGGCAUGCCUUACACAUGCAAGUCGGACGGCAGCGCGGGGACAACCCUGGCGGCGAGUGGCGAACGGGUGAGUAAUACAUCGGAACGUGUCCUGGAGUGGGGGAUAGCCCGGCGAAAGCCGGAUUAAUACCGCAUACGCUCUGUGGAGGAAAGCGGGGGACCGAAAGGCCUCGCGCUCAAGGAGCGGCCGAUGGCGGAUUAGCUAGUUGGUGGGGUAAAGGCCCACCAAGGCGACGAUCCGUAGCUGGUCUGAGAGGACGACCAGCCACACUGGGACUGAGACACGGCCCAGACUCCUACGGGAGGCAGCAGUGGGGAAUUUUGGACAAUGGGGGCAACCCUGAUCCAGCAAUGCCGCGUGUGUGAAGAAGGCCUUCGGGUUGUAAAGCACUUUUGUCCGGAAAGAAAACUUCGUCCCUAAUAUGGAUGGAGGAUGACGGUACCGGAAGAAUAAGCACCGGCUAACUACGUGCCAGCAGCCGCCGCCG
rnacentral:rRNA from 1 species